rnacentral:rRNA from 1 species
ACGCUGGCGGCGUGCUUAACACAUGCAAGUCGAGCGGUAAGGCCUUUCGGGGUACACGAGCGGCGAACGGGUGAGUAACACGUGGGUGAUCUGCCCUGCACUUCGGGAUAAGCCUGGGAAACUGGGUCUAAUACCGGAUAUGACCUCCUAUCGCAUGGUGGGUGGUGGAAAGAUUUAUCGGUGCAGGAUGGGCCCGCGGCCUAUCAGCUUGUUGGUGGGGUAAUGGCCUACCAAGGCGACGACGGGUAGCCGACCUGAGAGGGUGACCGGCCACACUGGGACUGAGACACGGCCCAGACUCCUACGGGAGGCAGCAGUGGGGAAUAUUGCACAAUGGGCGAAAGCCUGAUGCAGCGACGCCGCGUGAGGGAUGACGGCCUUCGGGUUGUAAACCUCUUUCAGCAGGGACGAAGCGCAAGUGACGGUACCUGCAGAAGAAGCACCGGCUAACUACGUGCCAGCAGCCGCGGUAAUACGUAGGGUGCAAGCGUUGUCCGGAAAUUACUGGGCGUAAAGAGUUCGUAGGCGGUUUGUCGCGUCGUUUGUGAAAACCAGCAGCUCAACUGCUGGCUUGCAGGCGAUACGGGCAGACUUGAGUACUGCAGGGGAGACUGGAAUUCCUGGUGUAGCGGUGAAAUGCGCAGAUAUCAGGAGGAACACCGGUGGCGAAGGCGGGUCUCUGGGCAGUAACUGACGCUGAGGAACGAAAGCGUGGGUAGCGAAC